CAGAUAACGCGUUAAGUGAUCCGCCUUGGGGAAGUUCGUCCACAAGCUUCAAACUGAAAAGAAAUUGACAGGGGGCUUGCACAAGAAGUGGAGCAUGUGGUUUAAUUCGAAGCGACGCGCAGGACCUUACCAGCGUUUGACAUGGUAGGACGGUUUCCAGAGAUGGAUUCCUUCCCUUACGGGACCUACACACAGGUGCUGCAUGGCUGUCGUCAGCUCGUGUCGUGAGAUGUUGGGUUAAGUCCCGCAACGAGCGCAACCCUCGUCUUUAGUUGCUAUCAUUUAGUUGGGCACUCUAAAGAAACUGCCGGUGAUAAGCCGGAGGAAGGUGGGGAUGACGUCAAGUCCUCAUGGCCCUUACGCGCUGGGCUACACACGUGCUACAAUGGCGGUGACAACGGGCAGCAAACUCGCGAGAGUGAGCAAAUCCCAAAAAGCCGUCUCAGUUCGGAUUGUUCUCUGCAACUCGAGAGCAUGAAGGCGGAAUCGCUAGUAAUCGCGGAUCAGCAUGCCGCGGUGAAUACGUUCCCAGGCCUUGUACACACCGCCCGUCACACCAUGGGAGUUGGUUUCACCCGAAGGCAGUGCGCUAACCGCAAGGAGGCAGCUGACCACGGUGGGAUCAGCGACUGGGGUGAAGUCGUAACAAGGUAACCGUA
rnacentral:rRNA from 1 species